rnacentral:tRNA from 1 species
UCUCUUAAAGUAAUUAUUACAAUUUAAUUUCGACUUAAAUAUUUGAUUAAAAUUAUAUAAUCUAAGAGAU